rnacentral:misc_RNA from 1 species
CUUUCUCUCUCUCUCUCUCUCUUCGUACAUAGAACACCGAUCUUAGUUUUCAAGAUUUUUUUCUUUCUUUCUUUCUCCUUUUCUUUUAAAGAAUCGUGGGAUUUUCGAUUUUGCGUUUCUGGGUUUUUAUGGUCUCUGUUAAUCUGAUUCCGAUUCUUGAUGGGUUCCUUGUAUUUUUAAUUAUGUGGGUCUGAAUCCGAGUCGGGUGAACGGUAUUUAUUUUUAACUCGCUGAGUUGUUGUUUCUAGAUCUGAGCAAAGGGCAUGGUCUUUGGCGAUUCUUUCUUCCCUCUGUGUUUUUUGACGUAGAAGAGUCGUGUACGGUGCACCAACUUGGUUUUUUCUGUUGGAAGCUCGUUGACUCGGUGUUUCUGACUAGGUGACUCAGUGAGUUUUGGGUGGGAAGAUCGAGCCGCGUGUAGGGCUGAGCAGGAACCGAGCGGCAAUAAUGCCGUCGGUUGGGAUGCGUCGUACCACUAGGGUGUUUGGGGUGGUGAAGGGCGUCGAUGGGGCCCGGGUUUUACGUUCGGGGAGGCGUCUCUGGCCGGGAUCAAGCGACUCCAGGUUCAGGAGAGCCAACGAUGGCGACGAGUGGUUACAUACCAUGAUAAAAUCAACCGCUACUAACAAGAAUCACCAUAACAAUAGUUCUGUCAAGUACAAAGAAAACGUAUGGACUCCCCAUGAUUCGAAAUUGAAGCAACAAGCGCCUGCUGUUGAUGCUCGAGUGCCCAAGAGAGUGAAGAACGAGAAUUUGAAAGAUACUGAGAACAAGAUGUUCGGGGUUGUUUAUAGUAGGAAAAGAAAGAGAAUGGGUGUAGAAAGCCAGGAUAACUCUGGGAAAAUGUAUGGGAUUCAGUUUUCGAGAAGGCAGCGUAAGAAGCAAGGGGAUGGUGACAGUUUUGUGGGUUUUGAGCGGGCGCUUCUUGUUGUUGUUCUUGAGGGCUAUUGCAGUAGUGGGUUAACUCCUUUUCUGAAUUUGGUUUUGGGGUAUGUUAGGAGGGCUAGUUUGAGGAUUUCCGAACUUACUACUUUCUUGUCGUCCGAGCCUGUUAACAGUGCCUUUGCUUCAAAUGGAAUUCGUUUUCUGCAGGAUACACCUGCUAAGAGAACUGGAAUUUGCAAGAUUUUCGGGGUUCUGAGUAAUGUGCCAAUAUUUUCUUUGGAUUUUUCUGCAAUUCCUUUCUGUUUUGUGUAUAUGCACCUCUGUUUGCUACUUAGAGUUAAGUGUCUGUCUCUCGCACCUGUGAAUACCUCUUUGGACGAGGACUCAUGUGAUGAGAUGAUGAGCGAAGAUGAUCAUUUAUGUGGUCUUUUGAAGACUGACACAGCACCAGAAACUGAUAAUUCUGGAAAUAAGAUGGUGUUACAUCCAUCUGUGAGAGCGUCCAAAUUAGCUGGCCGGAACAACCAAUACCGAAGUGGCUUAAAUUCUCGUGGCAUUCAAAAGAGGAGGAGUUCACUUAGGAGGAGGAAAGCUAGAAAUCCUUCCCUGGUUGGUGUGCACAAAGCUAAUGGUGCUUCAGUUUCAGAUCUAUUAAGUAGUAGGAAAAUUGGUAUCCCUUUUUCUUCAGCAGUGUCUAAGAACAAGCUUAGGAGUUCAUUGCGGAGUAGCGCCACAAGAAACCUCCAUGAAGUAAGUCCUAGCAUGGUUGAAGUAACUCAGACCAUGGACUCAUUAAACUGCUCUGCUAAUGUACUGGUUGUUGAAUCAGAUAGAUGUUACAGGAUAGAAGGGGCCACCGUUACUUUAGAAAUCUCUGAUUCAAAAGAGUGGUUGCUUGUAGUGAAGAAAGAUGGGUUGACGAGUUACACGCACUUGGCACAAAAGAAUAUGCGACCUUGUUCUUCGAAUCGUAUCACUCAUGACAUAAUAUGGACAGGGGAGGAAAGUUGGAAGCUAGAGUUUUCUAAUCGAAAUGACUGGCUCAUUUUCAAGGAUCUUUAUAAGGCAUGUACUGAUCGCAACAUAUCAGGUCCUGUCUCUAAAGCCAUUCCUGUGCCUGGAGUAUGUGAAGUUUUUGGAUAUGAAGAGGACAAUAGUAUGCCCUUUUCUAGACCGGAAGCAUACAUUUCUUUAAAUAAUGAUGAGGUAGCUAGAGCUCUGGCUAGGAGGACUGCAAUUUAUGACAUGGAUUCUGAAGAUGAGGAAUGGCUGAAAAAGUUCAAUGAUGAUAUAUUUGUUGAAACUGAGCAACAAGAGCAUCUUUCAGAGGAUAAUUUUGAGUUAAUAAUUGAUGCCUUGGAGAAGGGUUUUUAUUGCAAUCCAGAUGAUUUUGCAGAUGAGAAAGCAGCUGUAAAUCUGUGUAUAGAUUUGGGUAGGAGGGAAGUAGUUGAAGCUGUGUAUGGUUAUUGGAUGAAAAAACGGAAGCAGAGACGAUCAGCACUUCUUAGGAUUUUUCAGGGACAGCAAUCAAAAAAAGCUCCACUGAUUCCAAAACCUGUUCUACGUAAGAGAAGGUCAUUCAAGCGGCAAGCCAGCCAAUUUGGAAGAGGCAAGCAACCUAGUCUGUUGCAAGGUGAGUUCUUGCUUCUUUUGGCUGAUUUGGUCUUAUUUUGUGGUUAUCUGCGUUUUUGGUUUUUGUCAAUAUUAUCUCAUUUUCUAUUUGUUGUACAGUAAUGGCUGCUGAACAUGAUGCUUUGGAAGAACAGAAUGCUAUGCGUAAAGUAGAGGCAGCUAAAACUUCAGCGAAGAGAUCUGUGGAAUCAGCUAUUCUUAAACGCCGACGGGCUCAGAUUCUUAUGGAGAAUGCUGAUUUAGCAAUUUACAAAGCUACAAUGGCACUCAGAAUUGCUGAAGGUGCCCAACUGGUCAAUUCAACGGAUGUUGCUGUCCAACACUUAUUUGAUUGUCAGGCAUAGGUGUAUUUAACGCUUUUUAAGAUGGCCAGUUACAUUUAUUGAAAGCAGGACAACAUCGUAGACAACCUUGGUCAAUUCAACAGCUGUUUUGAAGCCCUGGAGAUAACCUUUUGCAGAAAGUAUUGUAAUUUUGUAUAGAUUUUUUUAUUGAAUGUACAUUCUGUAUUAUUAUAACCUCACACCAAAUGAUUUUAACAAGGGGAUUUGGUUGAUUUCCUUGUGUAAAAAAUGGGGAGAGAAAAAAAAAAUCAUAAGUUUACAGGAAAGUUUUGGCUUUGUGUAUUGAAAGCAUGCUUACAACCUCUAGUUCUAGUUGGUGAAGCAUGUACCCUUUGCUGAAUGCUGAUUGUGGAUGUUUGCUUCUCUUCUGUUCAGUUUUUCCGGUUCAUGUUUCCGUUGUAAAGUUAAAUAAAGCGACGUAACAUGGAAUGGUAAGUAGAAGUUUAAAGGUAGGUUUGCACGUGGAAGCCCAUCAUCCUUAAUGGGCCUUGUAUUGAUC